rnacentral:lncRNA from 1 species
UUUAAAAAAAACAUAUUUAAGGAAUGACUGUAAUAUUUUUUCUGUCUAUGAAGAAAUAACAUAAAAAAAAUUUGGUGCACACUGAAUAACGCGCGUAGCGGGUUUUUUAACAGUGUGCACCACAUUUUUUAUGUUAUUUCGAAUAGACAGAAAAAAUAUUACAGUCAUUUCUUAUAAUUUAAUUCUAAAUUCCAUUUUAAAC